GGAAGUUUAACUGGUGAUGAAGGAGUCACUUUGUCCAUCACAGACCUUCAGGUGCAGGUGGAAACAAAAAGGAAUCAGGCAGAGCUGAAGUGUUACAGCAGCUGUAAUGUGGCUGAUAAUCCUUCAUAUGUCUGGUACAGAAAUGGAAAAAAUAUGACUGCAGAGACGUCUUCUAUUAGAGUCUCUGUUCAUGAGAAUAACAAGUAUUCCUGCUCUGUUAAAGGACGAGAGGAUUACCGCUCUCCUGAAGUCUAUGCUCCAAAGCUUCCCUCUGUGUCAGUGAGUCCCUCUGCUGAGAUAGUGGAGGGCAGUUCAGUGACUGUGACCUGUAGCUGUGAUGCUAACCAGCACCUGAAUACA